UACAGGGGGGGGCAAGCGUUGUUCGGAAUUACUGGGCGUAAAGGGCCAGUAGGCGGCCAACUAAGUCCGACGUGAAAUCCCCCAAGCUUAACUUGGGAACUGCGUCGGAUACUGGAUGGCUUGAAUUCGGGAGAGGGAUGCAGAAUUCCAGGUGUAGCGGUGAAAUGCGUAGAUAUCUGGAGGAAUACCGGUGGCGAAGGCAGGUCUCUGGGCCAUUACGUGACACUGAGAAGCGAAAGCAAUGGGGAGCGAACAGG
rnacentral:rRNA from 1 species